AAAACGAGUACCAUCAAUGGGGCAACAAUAACAUACACUACUAUUCAGCUGCCGACCUGGUCAGCUUCGAGAGCGUGCGCUGAAGAGCACCCCGAGUCCCACUGGGAAAAAAGGCACCACACAAAUACCUGUUAUUAUUAUUCUUUUAACCGGGACCGCCGCCGUCCUGUGCUAUAGAGUGGAGCCAGGCGGGGCGGAACACAUCAUCCAGUAUGGGCGUUUGUUGCAAAACAGGCUGUUAUGUGAGCUGUACAGCCAAGAGGGAGAGCAUCGGGGCACAACCCCGCCUCCCUAUAUUGCUGAUUUUUCCCUCUCAUAGGUGGGACGGGAUGGCUGAAUAUGUGAGGUGGGCUUAAAGUAUUCCCAAAGUGCACCUCAUAGUGUGACUGGAACGCCUACUGUAUUAUGGAGUGGAACUGACUGGAAGUGGGCGGGAAAUAGCAUCUCAGUCCCAUCCGGUGUGGGCAUCUAUUGCAUAGGCUGUCCCAUCAAUUGUAUGGUCAAAAAAUUACCACACAAGGUCUCACAUAUGCCAAUCAGGUCAGGGUACAUUAAAUGUACAGUAAAUGGACCCGUCUUUAUAGAUUGAAUAAUGCCUAUAAACAUAAGGAAAUAAACAUCCACUCAGGGGAAGUGUACCCCAAUCAGGAUGUAUAAAAUAAGGCAGACAAUAUCUUGGUUCGAAUGGCAAAAUGAGCAUAGUGAAAAUAAAGUGGCCUUUCAUGUUCAUAUAUAAAGUGUCAUAUUUACAUAUCUACAAAUUUACAAAUAGUACGGUAGGGAGCUUAAAAAGGAAGAAUUCCUCAGGGUUGUUUAAGCCCCUUUAAUGAAGAGAGUAUUACAAAAAGGCUGAAAAAGAGAAUCCCUUAUUUAACCCUGCUGUGGAUAACGUAUUGAGUUUGUAAAUCCAAUACGAUUCUCUCUGCUGUAGUUUUCGGUCCCAAUUUCCUUUAUGUGGAGGUUGGGGGACUGAUUCAAUACCCAUGAAUCUAAUUUUAGUAGCAGAAUUAGAAUGAACAUAACAGGAGGUACACUAGUCCUUCGGUACGGCAGUUAAAGAAAGAUUUUGUUAAGAAUUCCUCAGAAUCACCGCUGUCUGUAAAAGGCUUGGUCUGUUUAGCAAUAUGUGGACAUUCACUACAGUGGCCACACUUGUAUGUGCCCGUGGGUAGAUAUUGUUUGAGGAGUUUUAUUAAGGGGGCCUUGUGAAGAAAUCCCUCUUUAUGUUCAGUAUUUCUCCCCUGUUCAUUCGGUAGAUGUAACUACCGAACAGAGACCACCCCCCAGGCUCGUUAAACUUCAAAGCAUGCCUCAAUUGAAUCUUCUACCAGUCGUUUGUCCUACUGAACGCCACGUGGCUGAGAAAACGGCGGCCAUCUUUUUUUAUGCGAACAAAGGCAGCGGGACUUGUUUGUCGAGUGUAUGUUUGUGCUGGGAGUGUUUUACGUUUUUCUUGCAAAUGAUUGGAUGUACUUUGUCCCUCCCUGUUGGAUGUCCCCUUGCAUGGGGACUUGCAUAAAAGCCAGUGUGUGAUAAUUAAAAGCCAGUUCUGUUGCACCCUUCUUCUAGACUUUGGCUGAUGUUUGGGGAUUCGUAUGCUUUAUUAAGGGAAUCAUCUUGUAAAGCUAUUGUAUUCGUAUGGAUUUCAUCUACCGAACGGAGAGCUAUAAUCACUGAUGCUCUGACUGUUCGGGAGGAAACUACCAAAUGAGGAUUGGAUAUCCUAGGUUUCCUUACAACUGGUGGCAAGCAGAGGGAUUCGAAUCCCGAAUAGACGUUCUGAACCAAGCAAGGGAAUGAAUGGCUCAGCAAUACCAGCUACUUAAAAGAUCCACGCUAAAAGAUUUACUGGAAGCUCGAGGCGUAGUGGCAAGUAACAAGACAAAAGCCACGUUAAUUGUGGAUUUAAUACAGAGCGACGGAACCAGUAAUACAGAGUUGGAGCACGAGGAAGAAACCGAGAUGCAGAAGGAUAUCAGAUGGAUGCUCAGUGUAUGGGACCCAAUCCAUCAACAGAGGCAGUUCUGCAGGUCAUGGCACAAGCCAGGCAAUAGCAAAAAGAGCGAGGUGAUCGAGACAGACCGUUACAGGGGGAUUUGCUACACUCCCCGGGAAGUACAAACGACCUACCAAAGAAGGUAAACUAUGCAGCGUUUAUAACUUUUAAUGAUAAUGACAUGGAAAUUGACAGUUAUCUACAAGACUUUGAACGUCAGUGUGCGCUGGAGGGAUUAGACUCCUCAAAAUGGUCUGCAGUACUUAGCAGCAAGCUAUCAGGAAGAGCAGCAGAGGCGUUGUGAGCAGUACCUGAUGGGGACAUACACAAUUAUGGCAAGGUGAAAGAUAUUUUGUUGGCCAGAUACGCUGUAACCCCAGAGGCGUACAGGAAAAAAGUUUAGGGAACUUCAGAAAGAUUCUCACACUGAAUGGGCUUUCCAGCUACACAGGGCAGCCUGGAAUUGGAUGCAGGGCUGCCAAGGAACUACCCUGGAGGAUGCCUUACAGCUCAUACUAUUGGAGCAGUUUUUUAAUCACACAGCAGACGAUAUAAAAGACUGGGUAAAGGACAGAAAACCCAAAACUGUGAAGGAAGCCGCCAGACUAGCGGAUGUUCACCAGGACAACCGGAGGUGAGAACAGGGGGUGAGCAGACCAACCUUUAAACACACCUACCCAGUACUAGCAACUCCUGCACCACCUAGAGCCUCCGUAAGUAAUCCCAGCAGCAACACCCCGACCCCUUGCAGGUUGUCAUUACUGCAAGCAACCAGGACAGAACCAGUGCCCUCAUUUGAACCGAGGAAGCUGGAAAAGGCAACCACCGCAACAACCCAUCGUACCCGCCCAUUGUGUCCAACAAGAAAAUCCUACCAGCUCCCCUAACCAAGAGGAGCAGUGGAGUGUUUUGCAUGAGGUCAGUCCAGUUGUGAGCGAAUGGGGGCGAGAACCGGGACCACCACCGUCAAUGGAUUACAGUAGAUGGCAUGGGGGCCUGAGCUUUGAGAGGCUCUGGGGCCAAACUAACCGUAGUACAACCACACACGGUCAAGGCCCAAGCUCGCAUCGGCCGCACAGUAGCCGUAAGGGUGGCUGGUGGUGCCAUACACAAGCUACCCACAGCCAGUGUCCUUGUCAACUCUGGAUCUAAACAAUUGGAGGUUCCUCAACCCUUCGCAAGGCCGAGAGAGAAACGGAGCUCAGACUCUCCUGUAUUUUUGACGCCUUCUGGGAGAGGCUGGAACAGCUUGCGUGGCCCCCGGAACCAGGGACCUACGCCACACUGCCCGUUACGAGAGGCUCAAGAAAAUGUCUCGGCACAUGCCGUAGGUUCCCUUGCUGGACUCCACAGGCGCCUGAAAAAGACCAACCCGAUGUCGGGUGAACAGAGCCACUCCAAGGGUGAACGUGACCAGGCACAGGCAAGGUAUCUUAAGGGGACCCCCACAGCACAGCGCAGAUCACUGCCUCGCUCCCCGACAAUGACCCAGCCUAAGAGAGGCAAUGGCCAACUCAUCCACACAUGCAAGUGGCAGACCAAGAGGCCUAAAAUGGCGGCAGCAGCAGCACACAGCCACAGCCAACGAAUACACCGGCAGGUGGGAACCACAACUGGAGCCACAUUAUACAUACCGACUAGGUCCUCUGCCCACACUGAGACACUCUUCUCCUACACUGCUGGACCAAGGGGAAUGCGGCACGCACCAUCGCUGCAACUAACGGCGCAGGGGGAGCACACCCAGCCCCAACAAGGCAUCGGCUGACCCAUACAAGACUGGGACUCAAUGUCAGGCACAGUGCCCAAUAUUCAUCACCUCUUAAUACCCGAGAUGAACUCUCACACCUGUAUGCAUGCAAUUCAAUAGCCCUUUUGUUUAUGCCGGGGACCGCAGGGGGGGAUAUCGCUAGGGACCAAGCGAUUAUAAGCUAAGCCUUUCUAUGUACAGGGAGUGCAGAAUUAUUAGGCAAAUUAGUAUUUUGACCACAUCAUCCUCUUUAUGCAUGUUGUCUUACUCC